AGCCUUUCCAUGGUUUUGAUGCCUCGCCCUAUACAUCAGAUCUAGAUGUUCCCUCAUCAGUUGAUACGAGUAUCACCUCUCCAGAGCCCAAAUCAGUUGAUACGAGUAGUAUCACCUCUCCCAUUCCUUCAGACUCCCAAGCACCUGCCCAUCCCACUCCAUAGCCCAGCCACCCACUCUCAUGUACCAUAUGGCCAUCCCAGUAAGCAAGCCAACCACUAGAAUUUGACUGGCAUGCACCUGUGACUUACAUAAACCAGACCUCUACAUAGCCUACAUGUCUUCAUUUUGCUGAAGGUAAGGAAUUCUCAGUUGUGUUUAAUGUUUGCAUACGUACAAUAAAUUUUGUACACCUAAGUGGUUACAUACUGUCCUUUAAUAUUAAUUCUUCAUUCCAGACUGCCCAUCAUCCCCUAGCCUGUUAUCUGUGAUAAAGCACACUGAAGUUAGGUUUGGAAUGCAUCCUUAUCAUGAAUGCUCUACACCUCCACCUCCAUCUCCCACAACCUAGGUAACAGCUUUGAGACUCACU